UACGAAGGGGGCUAGCGUUGUUCGGAAUUACUGGGCGUAAAGGGCGCGUAGGCGGCCAUUCAAGUUAGGUGUGAAAGCCCUGGGCUCAACCUAGGAAUUGCACUUGAUACUGUUUGGCUUGAGUUCGGGAGAGGUGAGUGGAAUUCCCAGUGUAGAGGUGAAAUUCGUAGAUAUUGGGAAGAACACCAGUGGCGAAGGCGGCUCACUGGACCGACACUGACGCUGAGGCGCGAAAGCUGGGGGAGCAAACAGG
rnacentral:rRNA from 1 species